rnacentral:lncRNA from 1 species
UGCCAGCUGGUCACUGUCUGGGUGGUCAGGAUGGUGGCAGCACCCACAUGGGGAUGACAUGUGGAGUGAAGUGUCCACCUGCCUGUGUCCACCCAGUGAGGCUGGGAUGAGACCCUGUAGAUGGAUGGCUGGUGACACUUGGGAGCAGCCACAGACAAGCCGAUCACUCAGAGACUUAGGGCCUCACUGGGGAGGCGUGAGAUUUCCUUUAGUCCUUGGACACCAAGUGAACACCACUCUACGCCCGUAUCCAGCAUUGAUGACAAAGAAGACAGAUCCCAAGAAAGGGCUGGUGGGGGUUACACCAUGCCAGGAAAGUUCCUGGGAUUGGGAAUGAGCUAGACUCCACCUAUUGGUUGUGUGACUUGAGAAAGCAACUUAAUCUCUCCAACUUCAUUCAUUCAAUAACUACUCAUCAGGUACUCGCUGCAUGCCAAGCAUUGUUAGAGACUUUCGAUGCAGCCUUUUCUACAAAAUAGGGAUUUUUACCACCUACCUAAUAGGACUGAUGUUAAUUCCAUAAGACAUAAAGCAAUGACUAUAGUACCUGGCCCUCAAUUAAGGUGAGUUAUAAUCUCCUACUAACAUACCUCUCCUUUUGGAAAUUGGGGGUCGGGGUGUGAUGGACAAGAAGCAAGUCAAUUCAAAGCCUGGCAUUCAAGAGAAAAAUACCUAAUAGGUGACAAUAGCAAAUUCCCAGCCAUUUUGCUCUCUUAUUUGAAAAGAACAGACCAGGCAGGGUUUGGAAUGACCAAAAGUUAAGGCAACUAGUGCAGUGGCAAGGACACCAGGCCUAGUCUGCCCCGCUGUCUUGCUGUGUGACUUAAGUUAAAAGCUUUGCCCUCUCUGUUCCUGGCUUUCCUCAUCUGUCAGAGGAAAAUAAUAAUAUCUGCCCUGCUUAGUCC